rnacentral:tRNA from 1 species
UCCCUGGUGGCUCAGAUGGUAAAGAACCUGCCUCCAAUGCAGAAGACCCGGGUUCAAUCCCUAGGUCAGGGAA